UUUCUUUUAACCUUACCAACACUGUAAAAACAACAGCUAAACUGCUCGGCGGUAAUAAUGACUUUCCAAGCCAAAUCACAGGACGGCUCUCCGGGCGGCCUGUCAGUGAGCCUGCCAGGAGGCAAGGAUCUCAGCCCCGGGGGGGCCGGGUGUCCCGGGAGAGGCACAAUAGGUGGCACCCAGGCGGGAGCCAGGAACGAGGCACCGGGUUGCGGCACGCGGGUGCUCACAGGAUCCUAUCACGAAGCUUCCGCCCCAAGUGGGGUUCAACAGGGACCUCAGCCCCCGCCUCCGUCCGGGCUGGCGAGACGGACAACAAACCCAGGCCCCAGAGGCUGGGCUCACAGGCUCUGUCCCCAGAGGAGCCAAGGGCUUCCAGGGGCCUGCAGGUGCCCCCCCAGGAGGACAGGCCACCAGGAACGACUGAGCAAAGCAGAGAUAGCAGGAGGCUAGGAGAAGCACAGAGGGCACCCGGGGAAAUGGGUGGAGCUCCCGUGUCCGCCCUGAACCACCCACUGACCACGCGGGCUGCGGGCCAGGGGAGGCGCCGGGGCAGGGGCCCACUUUACCACCCGCACCACUCACGGCUCCCAGGCGCCUGCGGUCCCCACCGCAGGACCCCAGCACCCAUCGCCGCGUCCACACCUGCUGCUCUCCGAGGCCCAGAGCUCAGGAAAGGAGGGUGUGGGUCUGACCCGAUGGCCUGCCUCUGAGCCAGAAGCACAGACACCUUCAGACCAGCUGCACCCGGACGGCCUGCCUCACUCCUGGGCGCAAGGAGCACGCAGAGAAAAACGAGGGUGGUGGGAGGGACCGGACGGCUCGGGCCUCAGUCAGCAGGCUGGGAACCAGGGGGCCAGUCUCCGGGCCCCUCCUUGUAGGCUCUGGGGUCUCCCCAGGUCGGGAGGGGCCUUCUCUGGAAUCCUAUCGUCCCUGAGUCUCGAAACUCCCUUCUGAGUCAGAACUGUCCUGCCCAUGGGCACCUGGCGUGAAGCAUCUGCCUGGGGCUCAGGUCAUGGUCUCGGGGUCCUGGGGUCAGGUCCCCAUCGGGCUCCCCGCGGGGAGUCUGCUCUGUGUCUGCUCCUCCCCUCACUCAUGCACAGGCUCUCUCUCUCUCUCUUUCUCUCUCCUUGCUCGCUCCAAGAAAUAAAAUCUUUAAAAGAAAACAAGAGGGGGGCAGCCCAGGUGGCUCAGGGGUUUAGCACCGCCUUCAGCGCAGGGCCUGAUCCUGGAGACCCGGGAUCGAGUCCCACGUCGGGCUCCCGGUGCAUGGAGCCUGCUUCUCCCUCUGCCUGUGUCUCUGCCUCUCUCUCUCUCUCUCUCUCUCUCUGUCUAUCAUAAAUAAAUAAAUAAAUCUUUAAAAGAAAAGAAAAGAAAGCAAGAACUGUCCAGCCCGGGGAGAGGAGAAGGGACCACUUCCAUCUCCUCUGCAGCCACGCUUACCCGGCUCUUGAGGGUGACCCCCUGGAAUGGGCUCUCUUGCACAAACAGAAUGGAACUAAUCUGCUUAAAGGGCCCUCCAGGGUCUGUCCACACGCCCAGGAGGGAGCAGGCGCUC
rnacentral:lncRNA from 1 species